rnacentral:rRNA from 1 species
CUCCUACGGGAGGCAGCAGUGGGGAAUAUUGCACAAUGGAGGAAACUCUGAUGCAGCGACGCCGCGUGAGUGAUGAAGGCUUUCGAGUCGUAAAAUUCUGUCCUUGGGGAAGAUAAUGACGGUACCCAAGGAGGAAGCCCCGGCUAACUACGUGCCAGCAGCCGCGGUAAUA